UCUUCACAGAAAAACUGUCCUUACGUUGUCU
rnacentral:piRNA from 1 species